GUGUUGUGUUUACGGCAUAUUUAUCGUUUUUACCAUUAUAAAAGUGGUUCUGAGUUUUUACAAUAGUCGCGAUUCUAUCAAAAAGGAUCAACACAGCUGGUAUCAGUUUUUCUAUAGAGGAAUCUCUGCGAGCAAACUUCUCAACCAACUUGCUUCUUCACUAGGUAUUGCUAGUGCUAUCAUUUCAACUUCCAUAAUGGAUUGAGCUAAAAUAAUAUAUUUCAUCUCGUCAUUUAUGACUUUUUGCCACAAAUCAAC
rnacentral:lncRNA from 1 species